rnacentral:rRNA from 1 species
UACAGAGGAGCCAAGCGUUGUCCGGAUUGACUGGGCGUAAAGCGCACGCAGGCGGUCGGGCGCGUGGGGUGUGAAAUCUGGCCGCUUAACGGCCAGGCGCCAUCCCAUACGGCUCGACUGGAGUGAUGCAGAGGUCGAUGGAAUUGCCGGUGUAGUGGUGAAAUGCGUAGAGAUCGGCAGGAACACCCAGGGGGAAACCAGGCGACUGGGCAUCUACUGACGCUGAGGUGCGAGAGCGUGGGGAGCGAACCGG